rnacentral:lncRNA from 1 species
AACCCCCAGUCCUUGAGAACAGGACCUUAUUAGGAAAUAAAUUGUGGUCGAUGUAAAUAUUUAAGAUGAGGUCACCCUGGGAUAGGGUGGGCCUUCAAUCCAACAUGACUGGUGUCCCUAUAAAAAGGGGAAAUUUGGACACAGACAUGCGAACAGGGAGAACGCCACAGCCACAUGGUGGCUGGAGUUAGGCUGCCACAAGCCUGGGAACCACCAGAAGCCAGGAGAGAGAGGCCUGGCAGAGAGGCUCCCCUAGUGCCACAGAGGGUCAACCCCUGGAUUGUGGACCUCUGGCCUCCAGAACCGUGAGACAAAGCAUCUCUGUUGUUGACGCUGCCUGAUUGGUGAUCCUUCCUCCUGGCAGCCCUAGGAAGGUGACACACCUGCUGUGGGACUUGGCCUGACGUCUCCUUGCCUGUGUGGCCUCCCUCCCUCUGCUCUCAGGGACGCUGGCUAACUCCUCCCAUUCACCCAAAUCCUUCUCAUGUAGGGUCGGCUUCUGGAGAAUCCCACUUAAGAUAGUGGGUUUUACGGAGUUUUUUGGAAAACUGGCCAGGAGCAGACAGAGAAAACGGAAACGAGCAAACGGGCCAAGGGUGGCCUGGACCCACCUAAAGAAAAACAGCCCCCACUCAGCUCCACCACAGGGGAGGUAGGCUCAUCCUCGCCUGACCAUUAAGUUUCUCAAGAGAAACCAGAAAUGAUUUCCAAAAAAAAAAAAGUGACAUCUGCUUUUUCAAUGUUAGCAAUGAACUCUGGCAUUUGCUUGCUGCUGCUUUUUGACCACUCAGCUGGGUUGAGCCGAUGGCACCAACUUCCUGAUCCCUCUGGACCGGGGCCAACACUGUGUCCAGACAUCGCUGCCCUUUCUCCUCAGCAGAGCGUUUCCCGCUUGGUGGUUUUUAAUCCCUCUGCAAGUGGAAUAUUGGCCCAAAGAGGACAAGCAUGUAACGUGUCUCACCAAGUGCUGUGCCCAUGUCUAGACCAGCAUAUCAAGCACAGAGCAGGUGAGAGUUGAGUGAAUAUAGGAUCUGGGAGGGUGUAGGGUGGGAAAUCUCUGUGCCUGGGAUCAGAGGCCCAGGCACAGCUGAGGUCCACUGGGCAGAAAUCCAGAGCUCACCCCUCACACCGCCUGGCCCCACCCCAGGGCAGCCCACGGGAGGGACCCACCUGCCCUGCUU